CUCGACCCGUCUCUCUCUCUCUCUCUCGUUUGCUUUUUGCUUUUUCGUGAGCAGGGGGGCGGAGUUCGACUCUUGGCAAAAGAAGAAGAUGGCGUCGACCAGCACAUCCUCGUCCUCCUCCGCACUGUCUACGCUUGUGGUGGACGGCAAGGCCCCUCGUCAACCUCAGCCCCAGAAGAGCUUGACCGCCCUCCUCACCUCCCUUCCCCCUCCCCCUGCUCUCCACUCUCCCCCUCUUUCUUCUGCUUCCGCUUAUUGUCGUAAGAUUGCGCGCAAUGUGGCGGCUAUGGCUACUGGUGAGGUUCCUGCCGAAGUCGCCGCCGCCGAGCUCCCUGAGAUUCUCAAAUCCGCCAAAGAAGCUUGGGACAAAGUGGAAGAUAAGUACGCCGUCAGUUCGCUGGCGGUCGCUGGUGCGGUUGCCGUCUGGGCCUCUUCCGGAAUGAUCUCGGCGAUCGAUAGGCUUCCCCUCAUUCCUGGCAUUCUUGAGCUGGUGGGCAUUGGAUAUACUGGGGUGAGUUCAUCAGGCUUCCAAAAUCUGCUUCUUUAGUCUGCCCCUUCCCCCAGAAGGAGCAUAAUUACCUUCGUUCUGAACAGUUUAUGAUUGUGAUGCUACUGUCCUGAGAGCGAUCUAACAGCUUAUGACAUCAGUGGUUUGCAUACAAGAACCUUGUUUUCAAACCAGAUAGGGAAGCUCUAUUUUGGAAAAUCAAGGAUAUAUACAGUGAGGUUACUGGAAGCAGCUGAAACAGUGGUUGCUGGUGAGAGGUGCAAUAUUCCCUGUUUCUGCAAUUGGAAUGAGCAGAGCACAUUUCGGCAUCAACAACCUUAGACCAGAGCUAUUUCCUGUAACGUUCUUCGAAUAUUUCUUAUUAUAGUCCCCACCAAUAUUCGUAAACUUUUGGCAUUUGUAAAUUCCAAGCACCGGAAAUGAUCUAGUCUUAUUGCACUGAUGUAACGAGGAAGGGCUAUCUUCAGCAAUAAACUAUAGCAUUCAUCUAA